rnacentral:rRNA from 1 species
CAAUGGCCGGUACAAAGGGGCGCAAUCACCUGAGACGGAGGGAAUUCCAAAAAACCGGUCCCAGUUUGGAUUGAGGUUUGCAACUCGACCUCAUGAAGUCGGAGUCGGUAGUAAUUGCAGAUCAGCAACGCUGCGGUGAAUACGUUCCCGGGUCUUGUACACACCGCCCGUCAAGUCAUGAAAGUCGGUAACACCUGAAGCCGGUGGCCCAACCCUUGUGGAGGGAGCCGUCGAAGGUGGGAUCGGUAAUUAGGACUAAGUUCGUAAA